rnacentral:lncRNA from 1 species
ACUGUCUCCUUUUAAAUAAAAAUUUCCUCAUGUUUUCAUCAUACAGUGACUUAAAUCUGCAUGACCUGUAUAAAUCCUUAUUCCUAUAAGUCCGAUGCACCUAUAAAAUCCAAAGAGAUUAUAAAAUAAAUGAAAGUAAAGCUAGAAGAAUAAAUUUGUUGCCAACCAAUAAUAUUUAUUCAUCUAGAUAAUUUUGUUGAAAUUAAACUAUAGAUGCAGGCUUUAACAAUAAAGAAUAUGUAUUUAAUAAUAAGGAAAAGUUUGCCCUAUUUCUAUUUUAAAUUUUGUUCCACAUUGACUUAAAUAUACAAUAUAGAACGUAUCUAUUUGCAUUGGUAUCUUCUAUAAAAUAUUGAUAACUUUGACUUGACUGCUUGAGCUAAUCAAGCUUCUCACUUUAACGAAACUCUGUCACAAAAGCUUCUCUAAUGAUGAUUUUAAUUAGCAUUCCUGUGUUAUUUGAAUACAAAGUUUGCAGAGCUGCAUUACUGAAUUCUACAUUUCGUGAGCAUAUAUGGUAAUCGCUGCCAGAUUCAGGAGCAGAAAAGUCUUCGCUGAAAAUAAACUGUUGCAAAUUGACAAAUGUGUCUGCUCACAAUCUGAAGGCGGUAAUAUCUGUGAUCACAGAGGUCUUUUUGAACUCAACUAUCAUCUGCCAGUGAGAGAUGUGUUAGGGCCCUAAUUCCUCCAUCAAUUUUCUCAGAUUACUACAAAGCCCUCAUUUCUACAGCGUACCACAAACGUUUCCAUGUGGUCUUUAGCCGAGUGAAGUUAAACGCAAAAGUAAUUUAUUAUAGCAGAAAUAAACAGCUGGGAUUCAGCUACCGGCAUAAAUCAGAUGAUCCAAAAUACGUUUGUAGUUAAGUGUUUAAUUAAAGAUAAAAUCAAACACUUAAUGCAAAAAUAUGGAAAAGUUGAAGGCCUCUGAGAAGGUCUCCUAGGCUAGGAGGGGAUUUGGGGUCACCGUUUGAGAAAUGGGGAUUCUGAGCAUACUUGCUGUUAAAAAUAUUAAGGUUCUUUUUAUAAGUGAUUUCUUAGAAUGCAUUUUCUUUUAUGUAAAAAUGUAAAAGUAAGAAACUAGUGGGAGAAGCUAAAUAUAUUAUUGAGGCUCCAAACGAUCCUAUUAUCCAUUGAUACUCUCUGGUUUUCUUAUAGGACAUAGAAUCUGUAGGAGAUGAAGGUAAAUAUUCAACUAGUGACUUGAAAAAUUCAUGUAGAUGAGAAAUAGCGUCCCUAGGUACUCUCAAAGAUCCUUGUUUUACUUACCUUGUUUAUCUACUCUGCUCCUUUGAAGCAGGCAAGAGGAAAACGUCUGUAAGUCCUGUCUUUCCUGUGUUCAGUGGGGAUGCUAAUGAGCAUAACAUUUUCAAAGAUAAUAGAACAAGUAGGAGACAGAGGAACACCAGGGCAUGGAAGAUGAACUCGCUGGAUCAUUGGCUCCCCUGCAAAGAGAGCUAGCUGACCCCCUAACAUAAUAAGAAGGCAGAUUAUUUUUUAAAGUUAUACAUUUCUGGUAUUUUGGAAAAGAUCAGUGUUUGUCAGCAGGAUACUUCUACAAUUUCAAAGAAAAUCGUUGGUGUACCAUCCUUUCAAUUAAAAAUAGGUAAAAAUGUUAAUAGACAAGUGAGCAGAGUUCAACUUGCAGGCCUUUCCCAUUAGAGCAGUCCUCCGUUCUCUGUGACAACGAAAAGCAUCUGACACGUAGGAGCUUCAAGAUCAGUGUAUUGUAGUUUGUGGUGGAAAGAGUAAGUGAAACUUUUAACACUGAAUUCCUGGUAGCUUUAACGCAGGGUUAAUGAUCAUUUUUGAGCUUGCAAACUUCCAUAAUUGUACCUGGAACUGAAUCAUUGAUUAUUUUCAGUAGAAAGGAUCGGUAGAUACGUGCUUAUCUUAUCUCUUCAUUUCAGAGCUAAGUCUGACUGAGGGAGAAUAGCUUACUUGUAGGGACAUAGAGAUGUCUGCUAGAUGAAAUUUGGGUUAGGGUGUUCGUUUCAUGAUUAACUGCAGUAUGGCUGGGGCGGGGAGGGUUUUAACUUUCCUAAGCCUCACUGUUUUUACCUAUAAAAUAGGAAGGAGGGGAUCCCUGGGUGGCUCAGUGGUUUAGCGCCUGCCUUCUGCCCAGGGUGCCAAACCGCUGCGCCACCCAGGGAUCCCUAAUAGUAAGAUUUUAAGAGAGUUUUUUCCCCUCAAGAACAUAGAAUUUAUUGUUUCUUUAUUGAAGAUUCUUAUGUGAGUGCUUCUUAUUUCCUGAUGAGAUUUCUACUUUGGCGGGAAAAUGCACGUUCUUCAUAAUCUCGCUCCUACUGUCCUUUCCUUGUUAAUCACUCCUCUGCUAUACAUCAUCUUCCAGCCAUAGCAAUAAUGUCUUCUCUGUGUUCUGGACCCAUAUGCUCUUUCAUAUAAUAGGGCUUUUAUGUAUGCUCCCCCAUUUGUCAGAAAUGCUCCAUCAUUUUGUUCUAUUAGGCAAACUCCUACUCUGCAAAAUCUCUGCUGAGGGCCCUCUUCCCUCUGUGCCCUUACAUACUUGCUAAGACCUUCUAGUAGAGCCCUUACCAAUUUAUACCAUAAGGCACAGUCUUAUAUUGCCCAUCUAAUCUAACUGGGCAUGAGUCUUUAAAGGCACAGUAUAUCACUGAUUUUGUAUCACCAGCAAUUUCGGCUGAGUCAAAUAAAUUAAAAGUCUAAACUUUGAAGAGCAAAUGUAGGUAUGUUCCAAAAGCAAGAGACUUUAAGAGGGAAAAUGGCUCAAGAAUGAUAGAAGGCUCUCCUGAUGAAAUCGUGAGGAUACACUAACAUAUGACCUAACUAAGGGAAAAAAAAUCUAUUUGAAGAGGCUUAUGUAGUUGUACAGGCUGUUCUCCAAUGAGUAAGAUAUCAGCGGGAAUGUACAUAAAAAGGAAAUGUAGCUAGGUGCAGAGAAAAGAUAGGAGUAACUCAGGAGGAAGGUGAUUCAUUCCAGGGCACUAAGCCAUCCUUAGAGCUCCAUUCUACUAUCGGAAAGCAGGGUCCUUUCACGGAGAAGCAGGAUGGGGAAAAAAGAUCACAGUGUCCACCAGACCACAAAAGAUGUGCCUGGGGACAGUUUUCUAUCCUAUUUGGCUGAUUGAAGUGUGAAAGUAAAUCAAUCAGAUGGAUAAAAUGUCCUAGUUUCAUGACUUCAUGGUGAUAUUAACAAGGGUCCUGACAGCAUCUGCAAUAUAGGUUAUACUUUAGCUCACCCAGAGAAAAAGAUUGGCAAAGAAUAGACCAGUUAUUAGAGCCACAACCAAAUAAGUUAGUAGGAGUCCAUCUCUAGUGGGAUAGAAGAGUGUGUAUCAGUCUGGGGAGGUCAGUUAUUGGGCAAGGAAAUUAUAGUGUGGGAUAUUAAGACUAGGUGGCUGUUGGGUUUUUAGAUACAGGAGAGUGGAAAAUAGUAGGAAAAUUAUCCACUACAGACAAAAGAUUCCAAGCUUGAACUGUGAGAUGUAUUCUCUCCCAGAAGGAAGUGGUGAUUCUAAUAUUUAUUGGCUAUUUCAGCUAGGUCCUCUAGCAGAGGGAUGUUAGGAGAGAUGAAAAUAUAUAGGGCCAACAGUGCAACAUGGCUACUAUAGGCUACUCAGCCCUAUCUUCAUGAAUAAGAACAAACAAACAGGAAUGUAUUAUCUAGAAUA